rnacentral:tRNA from 1 species
GCCUGGCUAGCUCAGUUGGUAGAGCAUGAGACUCUUAAUCUCAGGGUUGUGGGUUUGAGCCCUAUGUUGGGCA